rnacentral:rRNA from 1 species
ACGCUGGCGGCAGGCCUAACACAUGCAAGUCGAGCGGUAGGGAGAAGCUUGCUUCUCUUGAGAGCGGCGGACGGGUGAGUAAUGCCUAGGAAUCUGCCUGGUAGUGGGGGAUAACGCUCGGAAACGGACGCUAAUACCGCAUACGUCCUACGGGAGAAAGCAGGGGACCUUCGGGCCUUGCGCUAUCAGAUGAGCCUAGGUCGGAUUAGCUAGUUGGUGAGGUAAUGGCUCACCAAGGCGACGAUCCGUAACUGGUCUGAGAGGAUGAUCAGUCACACUGGAACUGAGACACGGUCCAGACUCCUGCGGGAGGCAGCAGUGGGGAAUAUUGGACAAUGGGCGAAAGCCUGAUCCAGCCAUGCCGCGUGUGUGAAGAAGGUCUUCGGAUUGUAAAGCACUUUAAGUUGGGAGGAAGGGCAGUAAAUUAAUACUUUGCUGUUUUGACGUUACCGACAGAAUAAGCACCGGCUAACUCUGUGCCAGCAGCCGCGGUAAUACAGAGGGUGCAAGCGUUAAUCGGAAUUACUGGGCGUAAAGCGCGCGUAGGUGGUUCGUUAAGUUGGAUGUGAAAUCCCCGGGCUCAACCUGGGAACUGCAUUCAAAACUGUCGAGCUAGAGUAUGGUAGAGGGUGGUGGAAUUUCCUGUGUAGCGGUGAAAUGCGUAGAUAUAGGAAGGAACACCAGUGGCGAAGGCGACCACCUGGACUGAUACUGACACUGAGGUGCGAAAGCGUGGGGAGCAAAC